GACGAACGCUGGCGGCGUGCCUAAUACAUGCAAGUAGAACGCUGAAGAGAGGAGCUUGCUCUUCUUGGAUGAGUUGCGAACGGGUGAGUAACGCGUAGGUAACCUGCCUGGUAGCGGGGGAUAACUAUUGGAAACGAUAGCUAAUACCGCAUAAAAUGGAUUAUCGCAUGAUAAUCCAUUGAAAGGUGCAAAUGCAUCACUACCAGAUGGACCUUCGUUGUAUUAGCUAGUUGGUGGGGUAACGGCUCACCAAGGCGACGAUACAUAGCCGACCUGAGAGGAUGAUCGGCCACACUGGGACUGAGACACGGCCCAGAAUCCUACGGGAGGCAGCAGUAGGGAAUCUUCGGCAAUGGACGGAAGUCUGACCGAGCAACGACGCGUGAGUGAAGAAGGUUUUCGGAUCGUAAAGCUCUGUUGUAAGAGAAGAACGAGUGUGAGAGUGGAAAGUUCACAAUGUGACGGUAUCUUACCAGAAAGGGACGGCUAACUACGUG
rnacentral:rRNA from 1 species